rnacentral:rRNA from 1 species
CCUACGGGAGGCAGCAGUGAGGAAUAUUGGUCAAUGGGCGGAAGCCUGAACCAGCCAAGCCGCGUGAAGGAAGAAGGUACUACGUAUCGUAAACUUCUUUUGUAAGGGAACAAAGGCCGGUACGUGUCGCCGAAUGCGGGUACCUGAAGAACAAGCAUCGGCUAACUCCGUGCCAGCAGCCGCGGUAAUACGGAGGAUGCGGGCGUUAUCCGGAUUUAUUGGGUUUAAAGGGUGCGCAGGCGGCCUGUUAAGUCAGCGGUAAAAGCCCGGGGCUAAACCCGGGCGUGCCGGGGCAACUGGCGGGCUUGAGUCGGCGGGAAGUAGGCGGAAUUCGUGGUGUAGCGGUGAAAUGCUUAGAUAUGGCGCAGAACCCCGAUUGCGAAGGCAGCGUACUGGAGCGAAACUGACGCUGAGGCUCGAAAGCGUGGGUAUCGAACAGGAUUAGAUACCCUAGUAGUC